UACGAAGGGGGCUAGCGUUGUUCGGAAUUACUGGGCGUAAAGCGCACGUAGGCGGACUAUUAAGUCAGGGGUGAAAUCCCGGGGCUCAACCCCGGAACUGCCUUUGAUACUGGUAGUCUCGAGUCCGGAAGAGGUGAGUGGAAUUCCGAGUGUAGAGGUGAAAUUCGUAGAUAUUCGGAGGAACACCAGUGGCGAAGGCGGCUCUCUGGGACGGUACUGACGCUGAGACGCGAAAGCGUGGGGAGCGAACAGG
rnacentral:rRNA from 1 species